rnacentral:rRNA from 1 species
GGACGAACGCUGGCGGCGUGCUUAACACAUGCAAGUCGAGCGGUAAGGCUCCUUCGGGAGUACACGAGCGGCGAACGGGUGAGUAACACGUGAGCAAUCUGCCCUUCACUUCGGGAUAACUCCGGGAAACCGGUGCUAAUACCGGAUACGACCACUUCACGCAUGUGAUGGUGGUGGAAAGUUCAGGCGGUGGAGGAUGAGCUCGCGGCCUAUCAGCUUGUUGGUGGGUAA